CCCCCUCUUCGCCCGGCCGCCGGCUUCGACGACGGACGCGCUGCUAGGAAGAGCACGCCGCGUUCCCGCCGACGGACGGGCACUCUCCGAGUUCGGGUUCGGGAAUAUUAACCCGAUUCCCUUUCGAUGCGAGGCCGGCCGCGUAACUGAUUCGAACUACGGGAGUUCUUCUUCUAACGACGGAUCCGGCGCCUUUCGUGGAAGCUUUCGCCCGCUUCUUAGGACCGACUGACCCGUGCUCGACCGCCGUUGGCACGGAACCCUUCUCCACUUCGGUCUUCGAAGGUCUCGUUCGAAUAUUUGCUACUACCACCGAGAUCUGCACCCGCGGUCGGCUUCACCCGGGCUCGCGCCCGCGGCUUCCAUGCACGCCGCGGCGCCCUCCUACUCGACCGGGCAUCGGAAAGUCGCCUCGCCGGCGAUCGCGCAACCUGUCGCCCGGCCGGUCCGGCAUCGGUCGCUCGCUCCAGCGCCAUCCAUUUUCGGGGCCGGUCGAUUCGGCAGGUAAGUUGUUACACACUCCUGAGCGGAUUCCGACUUCCGUGGCCACCGUCCUGCUGUCUAUAUCGACCGACACCCUUUCGGGGAUCUAAUGGGCGAAGCGUAGGGCACCUUAGCCGGACGUUCGGUUCAUCCCACAUCACCAGUUCUGCUUACCAAAAGUGGCCCACUUGGCACCGUGCAUUCGUCGUCGCAUAACGGCGGCCGCCUCCGAUCGAGAGAGGAGCGGCCCGUUUCGCCCGUUCCGAGUUCGAGAGUAGAUCGAGGCCGUCAACGUCCCCGGGGCCUCCAGUCGUUCGCUUUACCGGACGGAAUUGCGUGUCGUUCUCCCGCUGGCGCCAGCUAUCCUGAGGGAAACUUCGGAGGGAACCAGCUACUAGACGGCUCGAUUGGUCUUUCGCCCCUACACCCGGUUCCGACGAUCGAUUUGCACGUCAGAGGCGCUUCGGACUUCCACCAGAGUUUCCUCUGGCUUCGUUGAUGUUC
rnacentral:lncRNA from 1 species